rnacentral:rRNA from 1 species
UACGUAGGGUGCAAGCGUUAAUCGGAAUUACUGGGCGUAAAGCGUGUGCAGGCGGUUAUGCAAGACAGAUGUGAAAUCCCCGGGCUCAACCUGGGAACUGCAUUUGUGACUGUAUAGCUAGAGUACGGUAGAGGGGGAUGGAAUUCCGCGUGUAGCAGUGAAAUGCGUAGAUAUCGGGAGGAACACCAGUGGCGAAGGCGGUUACCUGGAGCUUUGCUGACGCUGAUGCGCGAAAGCGUGGGGAGCGAUCCGG